CACACAAAACACACAAAGCACACAAAGCACACACCUGCACCUGUGCACACGGCGGGAGAGGGGCGCUACGUGCGUGCGCGUGUGUUGAGAAGAUGGCUCAGCCUGGACAAAAAACAUUCGGCUGAGAGGGAACUUGAAAUGAAAGGAAAACGCAACAAACAACAACUUUGUUGAUCUUAUGAGGGAAAUGAAGCUGUCACAGCAGCGAUUCAAGGCAAAAAGAAAUACGAAGAGCAGCAUUGAGGAGGGAUUUCAAGAAGAGAAGAUGAAGCGGUUGUUGUUGCUUCCUCAACAGCAUCCGUGUUGGGCAAACAACCCCCGAGAUCACGGAGAAACCGGAAUAACGACUCCCAGGUCCAAACACACAUGCGGCUGCACCGUAACGGGUCGCCUCCACUGCGACACGUUCCGCUUGACACACACAGGCGCUCGCAUCGGUUGAGCUCCUGCGAUCGGUAAGCGGCUGAAAAUGUUUCUUGUGAGAUAGGCCGGCGACCCUCGUGAGGAUAAGCGCUACGGACAAUGGACGGAUGGAUGCUAGAGAGAGUUUUCCUGUGACGUUGCCCGGAACACCUCACCGGGGAGGGGAGGCGUCCGGGAGGCAUCCGAAUCAGAUGGCUCCUCUCGAUGCGGAGGAGCAGCGGUUCUACUCUGAGAUCCUUCCGGAUGACCGAGCUUCUCGCCCUAUCUCUAAGGGAGAGCCCGGAUACUCAUUUCUUACUUGAACUCCUCCACUUGGGGCAGGAUCUCAUCCCCGACCCGGAGAGGGCACUCCACCCUUUUCCGACUGAGGACCACGGUCUCCGAUUUGGAGGUGCUGAUUCUCAUCCCAGCCGCUUCACUGCUCCAGUGAGAGUUGGAGAUCACGGUUUGAUGAAGCCAACGGAACCACGUCAUCUGCAAAAAGCAGAGAUGCAAUACUGAGGCCACCAAACCGGACCCCCUCUAUGCCUCGGCUACGCCUUGAGAUUCUGUCCAUAAACGUUAUGAACAGAAUCGGUGACAAAGGGCAGCCUUGGCGGAGUGCAACCCUCACCGGAAACGAGUCCGACUUACUGCCGGAUAUGCGGACCGAACUCUGACUCCUGUCGUACAGGGACCGAACAGCCCGUAUCAGGGGGUUCGGUACCCCAUAGUCUCGAAGCACCUCCCACAGGACUCCCCGAGGGACACGGUCGAACGCCUUCUCCAAGUCCACAAAACGCAUGUAGACUGGUUCACUAUCCGGCGGAAACAGUGCACCAUCGACACUGUGUACAGUGGGGAUGGGGCCCCGCUGAGCUCGACACGGGACAUUGUGCGUCGGUGGGGAGAAUACUUUGAAGACCUCCUCAAUUCCACCGACACGCCUUCCCAGGAGAAAGCAGAGUCUGGGUUCUCUGAGGCGGGCGCUCCUAUCUCUGGGGUUGAGGUCGCCGAGGUGGUUCAAAAGCUCCUCAGUGGCAUGAGAUUGGCCCGGAGUUCCUACAGGCUCUGGAUGUUGUGGGGCUGUCCUGGUUGACACGUGGACAUCGGGGACAGUGCCUCUGGAUUGGCAGACUUGUUAAGAAGGUUCCAACCUCCUCAGCCUCCCUGGUAAGGGAGGAGGGUCCGUCGGGAAGGCGAAUGUCAGAUCCAGGAGGAGCAGUGUGGUUUUCGUCCUGGCCGUGGAACAGCAAUAGUAAUCAUUUUCAGAAAGAAAAGGGGAAAAGUGUUUAUUGCCUCUUCCAGCAGCACGAGAACGCUUUACAGCUGCAGGCGCAACAACACGGCAACAACGCAACUUCGCAACUUCGCAACACCGUAAGACCAAAACACUGCGUGGAUUUGUCUUGUUUUUCCAAGGAGGACAGCAGGUGGCGGGCGCGUAAUCAUCAUGAACGUCGACAAAGCUGCUGUUAUCGUGUCAGACUCCCAUCCAGUCAACCGGAGCAGAUGGAAAUGACGUUUGCCGCACAUUGAAAUGAGAUUUUAUUUGAUGUUCGCAUUUCACCUGCUGCCUCAUUUGAAUAUGCAAAGCAGGAGAACGCUUUGUUCAUUUUCCUGCUAAACAGGAGGGAGUCCGUUCACACAUUGGAGAAACAAACAACUUCGACCAAAAGAUGGUUGACAUUUCCGACACAAUUUCAUCAAAGAAAAUGCAAACGAUUGGCCGACGUGCAGACAUGAGCGCAUUGCGACACCAAGACAAAUAACUUCCAAAAAUAAAUCUCCAAAAAGUCAUUGAAAAUAGGAACAUGGAGCUCAGCGGACGCUGUUGAGGAGAAAUGACCAAACAUAUGGAUGUAGGUUGAAAGAUGUAAGCUUGGAAAGGUAUUUAUAGAAAAGGUUACAAACAGAAGAAAGUCAUAGAAUAUCAAUGUUAUUUAUUCUUUAUGUUUUGUGAAAUAACAUUUGAAUGGAUAAUGUCCAGAUCAUUUUGCUGAUUUUUACUAUUUUUCAAACAAAAGAUGAUGAUCGUGAUACGAAAAUCAUAAAAUGAUGUCCAUUCAUUCCUUUUUUCAUACCACUCCGACUCCAUUUUGAGGGUCGGACGAAACAUGCUGGUCUCCGUGGCGACACAAGCAAGACGAGCGUCGAUGUUGAGUGUCCACCGUGACCACGGGAGCACGUCCGCAGAAGCUACAAACAUCUUUAGCACUCGAAUAAAUACAACAACAAAAAAAAAACCUCCAGACUGGUCCAAAACAUCACACUGGGUUCUUCAGCUUGCUGGUUCUUGCUGGUUCUUGCCUGAUGCUAACUUCAAGAACAGCAGAGGAGCUCUGGGCGACGGACCUGGGUGCGGCCGCCGAGUAGGCCACGCGACUGAGGGGGUGCGCGGCGGCGUACCUACCGGCCCUCUCCUCGCGAGGGGGGCAGCUGCAGCACAGGAUGGCCCCCCCGAUGAGCAGCAGGGCGGCGGCGGCCCAGCCCAGGUAAAGCGCCGCCCCGAUCUCCAUCUUCUGUCCCGACAGGACGAUGGGGCUGUAGAACUCCACCACGAUGGUGUUGGCCGACCAGGAGACGGGCACCA